AAGAUUUGAUCUUGCACUCACUCCCGAACUCCUUUCACAAUUGUUGUGAAUUUUUCAUAUGAACAAGCUAGAUAUCAGCCUCGUUGAUUUGCUUAACAUGUUGAAAAAUGUUAAGAGUCACUUUCUAACCAAGAAAGACCAAGUCUUACUGGUAGGGGCCAAAGGAUCUUCUAAAAGGAAGAACGAUUCUAAGAAGGUAAAUAUAAAAGGC
rnacentral:lncRNA from 1 species